CAGACUUAGAGAGAAGGCGGCGAGAGUCUCCUAAGCUCCAGAAGCGGAGCUCGCUAUUCACCAAAGCGGUUUGCGCCGCCGCCGUGACGUCAAUGCCAUAGGGCGCCCGUGGGCUUUACGCCGCUGGCGCAAAGGCGUUGCUCUUUGCCUGCUGGGGAGGAGAGGGACAGAAAGAGGCUUAAAGAGACAACAGCGAGCCAUGGAAGGGCUGGGGGGAAAGAGACCUUUGGGUCCCCACCCUUGAAGAGCCCGGACGGGGGGAAAGAAGCUCAGCUUGGAAACAAAGAGUCGCCCUGGAAAGUUUGCUUUUGCGCCAUGUCGUCUUCACCAAGGAGCAUCCGACGGGAGGUGCUGCUGACUGGAGUCCUGGCGGACCAGGCCAGAGGACAGCCGUUCCACUAGCCCAGCACAUGUGGGUGGAGACGUCUCCCCUCACACCCUCCCCUCCUACAUCUCCGGCAUCCGCGAUGGUUUAUUAACCAAGAAGAGCCCUGCUUUUUUAAUUCCUCCUCCGUCUUUUCUCCCCUUCCCCUUCCCCUCCCCG
rnacentral:lncRNA from 1 species